UACGGAGGGUGCAAGCGUUAAUCGGAAUUACUGGGCGUAAAGCGUACGUAGGCGGUUCGUUAAGUUAGAUGUGAAAGCCCCGGGCUUAACCUGGGAACUGCAUUUAAAACUGGCGAACUAGAGUUGAGUAGAGGGGAGUGGAAUUUCAGGUGUAGCGGUGAAAUGCGUAGAGAUCUGAAGGAACACCAGUGGCGAAGGCGACUCCCUGGACUCGAACUGACGCUGAGGUACGAAAGCGUGGGUAGCAAACGGGAUUAGAAACCCCAGUAGUCC
rnacentral:rRNA from 1 species